GACGAACGCUGGCGGCGUGCUUAACACAUGCAAGUCGAACGGAAAGGCCCUGCUUUUGUGGGGUGCUCGAGUGGCGAACGGGUGAGUAACACGUGAGUAACCUGCCCUUGACUUUGGGAUAACUUCAGGAAACUGGGGCUAAUACCGGAUAGGAGCUCCUGCUGCAUGGUGGGGGUUGGAAAGUUUCGGUGGUUGGGGAUGGACUCGCGGCUUAUCAGCUUGUUGGUGGAGUAGUGGCUUACCAAGGCUUUGACGGGUAGCCGGCCUGAGAGGGUGACCGGCCACAUUGGGACUGAGAUACGGACCAGACUCCUACGGGAGGCAGCAGUGGGGAAUAUUGCACACUGGGCGGAAGCCUGAUGCAGAAACGCCGCGUGCGGGAUGACGGCCUUCGGGUUGUAAACCGCUUUCGCAUGUGACGAAGCGUGAGUGACGGUAAUGGGUAAAGAAGCACCGGCUAACUACGUG
rnacentral:rRNA from 1 species